rnacentral:rRNA from 1 species
AAAUUAAAGAGUUUGAUCAUGGCUCAGAUUGAACGCUGGCGGCAGGCCUAACACAUGCAAGUCGAACGGUAACAGGAAGCAGCUUGCUGCUUCGCUGACGAGUGGCGGACGGGUGAGUAAUGUCUGGGAAACU